rnacentral:rRNA from 1 species
CAGUCGCCGCGGUAAUACAGAGGGUGCGAGCGUUAAUCGGAUUUACUGGGCGUAAAGCGUGCGUAGGAGGCUUCUUAAGUCGGAUGUGAAAUCCCUGAGCUUAACUUAGGAAUUGCAUUCGAUACUGGGAAGCUAGAGUAUGGGAGAGGAUGGUAGAAUUCCAGGUGUAGCGGUGAAAUGCGUAGAGAUCUGGAGGAAUACCGAUGGCGAAGGCAGCCAUCUGGCCUAAUACUGACGCUGAGGUACGAAAGCAUGGGGAGCAAACAGGAUUAGAUACCCCGGUAGUCCCUGUCUCUUAUAC